ACUUAUCCUGGUAACCAAAAUGAAAUGAGGCCAGAAGCUGCUAAUGCAAAUUAGGUGUGGAGCCAGGAAGUAGAGGGAUGGAGAGAACAAGGAGUGGGAGUAUAAGAGGACCAGCAUCUUGGGGAAUACAUUGUUGGUCAAGGAGAUCUUACCCUUAUGAACGACAGCGUGGCAAAGGGGUGCCUAACAGGCUGAAAAUGCAGGAAUCUGCUAGAUUCCUCCCUCUGGAUUGUGGAAUUGAGCCCUCUCUUCUUUAGAUGGGGAGUUCCUGGCCUGUGGAAGCUGUACUCAGAUGCCCCAGGACUGUUACUGCAAAAACACGAGGCGUGAAACACCCUUUCCAUGCUCCGUGUCAGCCUGGGUUCCAGAAUGCACGUUUGUCAGACACCUGAGCUUCUGCGCUUUGCCUCCGGCUCCCUCCUCCCUCCCUGCUUCCUUCCACUGUGCCAGGUCCCUCCCACUACAUUUGGCUCCCUGAAAUAUAGUCUCAUUUCACUGCCAGGCCUCUGUGAUUUACUGCGCGUGAGCAUCACCGCGGAGCAAGGAAGACAUUCUUCAUUUUUCUAUGUGACGCACGAGGAGCCAUAAAAGUUGAAGAUGAGUGCUUGUGAGCCUAACGACACAUGUCCCAUCCCGUCAAGGAUUUUGAAGACUAGGUCCCCAAAGGUGAUGUGGGCCUUGGCUCUCUCUCUCAGGAUUCUUGCCAUUGGAACCCAGCCACCAUGUUAUGAAAAAGCCCAGGCAGCAAUGGGAGGCCCUGUGUGGAUGUUUCAGCCAAAAGCCUCAGCUGAAGUAUCAGCCAACGGUUAGCAUCGACCAUCAGUUAUGUGGGUGAAUGAACCUUCAGAUGAUUCCAGCCCCCAGUCUUCAAGCCACCCUACUGAUGCUGAGUGGAGCAGAGAUAAGCUGUUCCCACUUCGUCCUGCCCAAAUUACAGAGCUGUGAGCAGAAUAAGUGUUAUCAUUGCUUUAAGUCUCUAAGUUUUGGAGUAAUUUGGAACACAUGCAUGUUAGAACCUUUGCAGUAUUUACCUGGUUUGGAUGGUGACAGAUUUUCUAAUAAAGUACUACAUUCGAAUCUGCGGAAAAUGUAAA